UUUUGAUGAUGAUGAUGAUGAUGAUGAUGAUUGUGGUUCGGUUAGGAAAGGACGCUAACCACAAUCAUCAUCAUCAUCAUUUUGGGUG
rnacentral:pre_miRNA from 1 species